rnacentral:rRNA from 1 species
UACGUAGGGUGCAAGCGUUGUCCGGAAUUAUUGGGCGUAAAGAGCUCGUAGGCGGUUUGUCGCGUCUGCUGUGAAAACUCGGGGCUUAACCCUGGGCCUGCAGUGGGUACGGGCAGACUAGAGUGCGGUAGGGGAGACUGGAAUUCCUGGUGUAGCGGUGAAAUGCGCAGAUAUCAGGAGGAACACCGGUGGCGAAGGCGGGUCUCUGGACAGUUCCUGACACUGAGGCACGAAGGCCAGGGGAGCAAACGGG